CCUAUGGACGGGAAUAACCUCGGGAAACUGAGAAUAAUGCCCGAUAGAACAUUAUGCCUGGAAUGGUUUGUGUUCCAAAUGAUUUAUCGCCGUAGGAUGGGACUGCGGCCUAUCAGUUUGUUGGUGAGGUAAUGGCCCACCAAGACUAUUACAGGUACGGGCUCUGAGAGGAGUAGCCCGGAGAUGGGUACUGAGACACGGACCCAGGCCCUAUGGGGCGCAGCAGGCGAGAAAACUUUGCAAUGUGCGAAAGCACGACAAGGUUAAUCCGAGUGGUUUCUGCUAAAGAAACCUUUUGUCAGUCCUAGAAACACUGAUGAAUAAGGGGUGGGCAAGUUCUGGUGUCAGCCGCCGCGGUAAAACCAGCACCUCAAGUGGUCAGGAUGAUUAUUGGGCCUAAAGCAUCCGUAGCCGGCUCUGUAAGUUUUCGGUUAAAUCUGUACGCUCAACGUACAGGCCUGCCGGGAAUACUGCAAAGCUAGGGAGUGGGAGAGGUAGACGGUACUCGGUAGGAAGGGGUA
rnacentral:rRNA from 1 species